CGCGGCCUAUCAGCUUGUUGGUGAGGUGAUGGCUCACCAAGACGAUGACGGGUAGCCGGCCUGAGAGGGCGACCGGCCACACUGGGACUGAGACACGGCCCAGACUCCUACGGGAGGCAGCAGUGGGGAAUAUUGCACAAUGGGCGAAAGCCUGAUGCAGCGACGCCGCGUGGGGGAUGACGGCCUUCGGGUUGUAAACCCCUUUCAGUAGGGAAGAAGCGAGAGUGACGGUACCUGCAGAAGAAGCGCCGGCUAACUACGUGCCAGCAGCCGCGGUAAUACGUAGGGCGCAAGCGUUAUCCGGAAUUAUUGGGCGUAAAGAGCUUGUAGGUGGCUUGUCGCGUCUGCCGUGAAAACCCGAGGCUCAACCUCGGGCGUGCGGUGGGUACGGGCAGGCUAGAGUGUGGUAGGGGAGACUGGAACUCCUGGUGUAGCGGUGAAAUGCGCAGAUAUCAGGAAGAACACCGAUGGCGAAGGCAGGUCUCUGGGCCAUUACUGACACUGAGAAGCGAAAGCAUGGGUAGCGAACAGGAUUAGAUACCCUGGUAGUCCAUGCCGUAAACGUUGGGCACUAGGUGUGGGGGACAUUCCACGUUUUCCGCGCCGUAGCUAACGCAUUAAGUGCCCCGCCUGGGGAGUACGG
rnacentral:rRNA from 1 species